rnacentral:RNase_P_RNA from 1 species
AGAGUAGGCGCAGGCGGUUGCAGAUCAGUCAUGCGACUGGUUUGAGGAAAGUCCGGGCUCCCGAAAGACCAAACUUGCUGGAUAACGUCCAGUGCGAGCGAUCGUGAGGAUAGUGCCACAGAAAGAUACCGCCAAAGUUAGUGCUGAGCAAUGAGUGCUGAGUGCUGAGUAAAGACAACUCAGCACUCAGCACUCAGCACUCAAAACUAUUUUGGUAAGGGUGCAAAGGUGCGGUAAGAGCGCACCAGCAGCGUCGAGAGGCGCUGGCUCGGUAAACCCCGGUUGGGAGCAAGGCGAAAGGAGACUAUGGUUGGUCUUUUACCAGUUUCCUAAAGUAGAGCCGCUAGAGGCGUUUGGUAACAAACGUCCCAGAUAGAUAACUGCCCUCAAAAGUGCUUUUAAACACUUUUGAGAACAGAACCCGGCUUAUGUCCGACUCUCUCC